AACGAACGCUGGCGGCGUGGAUAAGACAUGCAAGUCGAGCGGGACAAUCAGGGUAGCAAUAUUCUGGUUGUUCAGCGGCGCAAGGGUGCGUAACACGUGGGUAAUUUGCCAUGAAGUCUGGAAUAACUUGCUGAAAGGCGAGCUAAUGCCGGAUGUGACUUCCGAGGGGCAUCUCUUGGAAUUCAAAGCUGGAACCGUAAGGUCUGGUGCUUCUUGAUAAGCCCGCGGUCUAUCAGCUAGUUGGUGAGGUAACGGCUCACCAAGGCUAUGACGGAUAGCUGGUCUGAGAGGACGACCAGCCACACUGGAACUGAGACACGGUCCAGACACCUACGGGUGGCAGCAGUCGAGAAUUUUUCACAAUGGGCGAAAGCCUGAUGGAGCGACGCCGCGUGGGGGAUGAAUGGCUUCGGCCCGUAAACCCCUGUCAUUUGCGAACAAACCUUACCGGUUAAUACCCGGUGAGCUGAUUGUAGCGGAAGAGGAAGGGACGG
rnacentral:rRNA from 1 species